GUGCUCGCUUCAGCAACACAUGUAUGAAAAUUGGAACAAUACAGGGAAUAUUAGCAUGGCCCUGCACAAAGAUGAUGUGCAAAUUCAUGAAGCAUUCCGAGUUAUU